GGCCUCGUGGUCUAAUAGAUAAGGCAUCGGUCUCCUAAACCGGGGAUUGCAGGUUCAAGUCCCGCCGGGGGUU
rfam:Stegodyphus mimosarum contig118731, whole genome shotgun sequence.